GAUGAACGCUGGCGGCGUGCCUAAUACAUGCAAGUCGAGCGAACGGACGAGAAGCUUGCUUUUCUGAUGUUAGCGGCGGACGGGUGAGUAACACGUGGAUAACCUACCUAUAAGACUGGGAUAACUUCGGGAAACCGGAGCUAAUACCGGAUAAUAUUUUGAACCGCAUGGUUCAAAAGUGAAAGACGGUCUUGCUGUCACUUAUAGAUGGAUCCGCGCUGCAUUAGCUAGUCGGUAAGGUAACGGCUUACCAAGGCAACGAUGCAUAGACGACCUGAGAGGGUGAUAGGCCACACUGGAACUGAGCCACGGUCCAGACUACUACGGGAGGCAGCAGUCGGGAAUCUUACGCAAUGGGCGAAAGCAUGACGGAGCAACGCCGCGUGAGUGAUGAAGGUCUUCGGAUCGUAAAACUCUGUUAUUAGGGAAGAACAUAUGUGUAAGUAACUGUGCACAUAUUGACGGUACCUAAUCAGAAAGCCACGGCUAACUACGUG
rnacentral:rRNA from 1 species